rnacentral:misc_RNA from 1 species
AAUCCGUUGGAGCUCUUGUGUGCAACUAAGAGUUUCCCGAACCGAUUAUUCCCGAUGCUCAGAAUUUAUUAAUCAGUAUACCUAAAAAUAUCAGGCAGAAAAAUUACUUCCUUCGGUAGAGUAAAAAAAAUUGUUGGAAGAUGUAAUAAAUAAAUAAAUAUAGAAUAAAUAUAUAACAAUCAAUUCGUGAGAGAUAAAAGAAAACAAGAUUAAAAGUUAGAUGGGAUUUAGUGGAGAGUACGUGACGAUAAUGGGUGA